GGGCAUGUAGCUCAGUGGUUAGAGCAUUUGUCUUAUAAACAAAAGGUCCCAGGUUCGAUUCCUGGUAUGCCCACCA
rnacentral:tRNA from 1 species